rnacentral:rRNA from 1 species
GGGGGGGGGGGGGGGCGGGGGGGGGGCGGGGGGGGCGGGGGGGGGGGCCCUGCUUGGGUGGGGUGCUCGGGUGGCGAACGGGUGAGUACCCCGUGAGUAACCUGCCCUUGACUUUGGGAUAACUUCAGGAAACUGGGGCUAAUACCGGCUAGGCGCUCCUGCUGCAUGGUGGGGGUGGGAAAGUUUCGGCGGUUGGGGAUGGACUCGCGGCUUAUCAGCUUGUUGGUGGGGUAGUGGCUUACCAAGGCUUUGACGGGUAGCCGGCCUGAGAGGGUGACCGGCCACAUUGGGACUGAGAUACGGCCCAGACUCCUACGGGAGGCAGCAGUGGGGAAUAUUGCACAAUGGGCGGAAGCCUGAUGCAGCAACGCCGCGUGCGGGAUGACGGCCUUCGGGUUGUAAACCGCUUUCGCCUGUGACGAAGCGUGAGUGACGGUAAUGGGUAAAGAAGCACCGGCUAACUACGUG